UUAAAUUACUCAUGAAUUUCAAGAAAACCCUGAUGAUCGAUGAUUAUGUGUAUAUAUGCUUGUAAUUUUGUAGGGAAGUGGUGCUGGAGUACGUAAAGACAUCAACGGUGAUGAUGAAAAAACUAUUACAAGUACUAAUUGGAAACCUAGGAGUGAAACUAAACGAUUCAAGACUUGAUACACUUUUAGGUUCAAAGUCAGUGCACAUGAUCUUCUGCCCGACUUGUCCAAACCCUGAGUUAACUAUAGGUGUUAGGAAGCACUCUGAUAAGGGCACGCUAACAAUGCUUCUACAAGAUGACAUUGGUGGAUUAUACGUGAAAAAAGGCGAAAACUUAUCAUCUGGAGACGAAGAGUGGAUCGAGGUUCCACCCAUCCAUGGUGCUCUAGGCGUCAACGUUGGCGAUAUGUUACAGGUUAAUUUCAUGCUAUAUUACUAAUGAUUAAACUUCCUCCUUAAAUGGAUAUAUAACUUUUAUUUGGUGUUUCAUCAUGUUAGAUUUUAAGCAAUGGAAGGUACAAAAGUGCAGAACACGUAGUGCGAACCACAAACACUGCAUCAAGAGUGUCGGUCCCUAUAUUCAAUGCUCCGCUUCCUGUUGCAAUUAUAGGACCCUUUCCGGAGCUGGUGGCUAGUGAUGGGGUCGCUAGAUACAGAGAUAUCAAUUACAAAGAGUACACGAACAACAUCGAUAUUGAGAAACCCUGUGGAAGAAAGAUGGCUCUUGAAUUCGUGUCUAUUUAAUUAAGCUUUUAUUCUCCAUUUUAGUGGAGUUAUUAUGUGUAAUAAAGGACGACUUCUGUACUCAAUAAAAUAUGUUUUGGAUUUACUUAGCAAUAUUAAAAGCAAUUUUGUCAAUUUUUUAUACCAUGAAUCAAACAUCAUCAUAUACUAAAUCACAGGAAUGUAAAGAAAAACUUACUUGAAUUGUAUCUAAUCUUCACCUGGAAGAUGAAGUCAUGUUAUUGACAGAAAUUGAUAACGAUCACUACUAGUACUAGAAAAGUGAUUCUUUUCCAAUGGGAGAAAAAUUCCGUCGGAAAUACCGAUGGAACAACGAGAGACUUAAUUUAGGAACAAUAUGUGACGGCAUAGCAACGGACGUGAGAAACGUCGGUGAAUACUGCCGGACACGAAUACAAAAUUACUUUUUUAUAGGCCGCCACAUAAAUACGUAAAAAAUGCAAUGUCUUGGAUAGAACCCGGACGAAUGACGAGACCGGGAAACAGCUUACCACUUCCUGUUUUAAGCCUAAUGGAAAAUACUACAAUUAAAAUUAUUAUUAUUAUUCGAGUGGUAAAUAUAUUUUUCUCCGUUCGUAUUUUUGCACAUAUUUCUCAUACAUAUACAUACAUACAUAUACACUUGUAUACUUACGCGUAUACAUAUGCAUACGUUCAAUAAUAAAGGUAAUAAUACCUAUUGUUGCUGCUACAACUAAUAUUAUUAUUAUUAUUAUUAUUAUUAUUAUUAAACUUUUGUCUUUUAUAUUGAAACCAUUUUUCAAACNAUAACAUUAGAAUAAAAAUUAAAAUAAACUUAAUACAAAUUAUAAAGUGAUAUUAUUUCAAUUAUUUAUUUAAAUCAAUGAUUAAAAAUUAUAUAACUAAAAAAUCUCUUAAUUAAUAAUUUAUUUAAAAUAAUUAAUUAAUAAUUUUUAGUUUUUAUUUUAAAAGUUUAAUUAAUUAUAUAAGUGUAGGUUAUAAACUAAUAUUUACUCAAUUAGUGGUGUCAUCUCACUGUAAAACCUCUCCAACUUUUGCUCAAUCAGGAUAGUGCAAAGAGACAAUUUGUGGGUGUCAUCUCACUAUAAAAUCUCUCCAUGUUUUGUUCAAUCAAGAAAGUGCAACGAGACACAAUAUUUACAUUAUAUAUCUCAAAUGGCUCUAAGCUUCAAUGAUGAGAAUUCACUAUUCAACUUCGUCGUGAAAGAAGGAAAUGGUGUCAAAGGUCUCAUGGACUCCGGUCUCACCGAGGUACCACGUCGUUUCAUCCAACCACCCGACGAACGACUCGACAAGCAACAUGCUGCAGCCCCAUCGUCUGAAAACAUGAUCAUUGAUCUAUCGGAGCUUGAUGGACCUAACCAUGAUCAAGUGGUCAAGGCCAUAUCCCAUGCUGCUGAAACUCUAGGCUUCUUUCAGGUGGUGAAUCAUGGUGUGCCAUUAGAGCUCCUAGACUCGCUUAAAACUGCAACUCACAAGUUUUUUGACCAACCAGCUGAAAAGAAAGCGACAUAUCUCAAGGAGGUGAGCGAUAAUCCGAUGAUCAUGUAUGCAACAAGCUUUAUUCCUGAGAAAGAGAAGGUUUGGAUGUGGAGAGACUUUUUUAAAAUGACAUACACCAACGAUGAUGAUGCCCUUCAGUAUUGGCCUAAUGAAUGCAAGUAAGAACCCACCUUAAAUUACUCAUGAAUUUCAAGAAAACCCUGAUGAUCGAUGAUUAUGUGUAUAUAUGCUUGUAAUUUUGUAGGGAAGUGGUGCUGGAGUACGUAAAGACAUCAACGGUGAUGAUGAAAAAACUAUUACAAGUACUAAUUGGAAACCUAGGAGUGAAACUAAACGAUUCAAGACUUGAUACACUUUUAGGUUCAAAGUCAGUGCACAUGAUCUUCUGCCCGACUUGUCCAAACCCUGAGUUAACUAUAGGUGUUAGGAAGCACUCUGAUAAGGGCACGCUAACAAUGCUUCUACAA
rnacentral:lncRNA from 1 species